UACGUAGGGUGCAAGCGUUGUCCGGAAUUAUUGGGCGUAAAGAGCUCGUAGGCGGUCUGUUGCGUCGGCUGUGAAAACCCGGGGCUCAACCCCGGGCCUGCAGCCGAUACGGGCAGACUAGAGUUCGGCAGGGGAGACUGGAAUUCCUGGUGUAGCGGUGAAAUGCGCAGAUAUCUGGAGGAAUACCGGUGGCGAAGGCGGCAUCCUGGACCGACAUUGACGCUGAGGAGCGAAAGCUAGGGGAGCAAACGGG
rnacentral:rRNA from 1 species